GGCUGGUUGGCGCAACGGUAGCGCGUUCGACUCCAGUUGCCUCAGUCUUCAGCCCGCCGGGUUAGUAUGAGGAAGUUGGCAUCGAAAGGCUAGGUGUUCAAAUCACCUACUGGUCA